UCUACCAUCCAUCCCAUCCUACGUCCCCUUUUCCGCCACCACCUCUACCACUUAUACCGCUAUCUACCAUCCAUCUUACGUAUCCUCUAUCUCUGUGCCAAGUUUAUAGCACCCCAUAUCAGUCUUUUUUUUGCUUAGGCACCAAAUCACUCCGCUUGUACUCAAAGGAGAAAAGCCAAAAUACAAACAAACGUUGGCGCUCACAUUUUUCCUCCAGUGAAGAACGAGUCACCAUUAAUCACGUAGAGUGCGUGGGAGGGAGGGGAGGAUGAACCCCCGUUGAGCACACGUAGCUUGGGUUUACGAGUCAGCUGUGUGAGGAGAGUCCUGCUGGGUCUUAACUAGGAAAGGAUAAAGUCAUUUGCCAUACUGCUGAACGCUAUGGUGGCCUUCAUGUUGCAAGAAGCCACAGCGAAGGCACAGGACUGACGGAUGGCUGGGCUUCAGAAGGGCCCUCACUCUCCACCUCACCAAGAAUCAACAAGCACCACUUCGGAUGGCCAACUGCAUCCCCGCUCUGUUUGUUUGCUCUCCCGCUGAUGGUGAUAUGACUUACACUGCCUGGCCGUGGAGAAGUCCGGCCGAGACGCCCUAGCCUAGACACUUUCACAUCCUUAUCCCUGCACGGCCUGCGAACUUGGCCGGCAGCGUACACACACCUGACUAUUUCCUAACGGAACGGACGAGUGAGUGACUUACUUGGAGAAACAGUCGACGGAGGCAGACAGCAGCAGUCCCCCGCAGCUCAGUGCCCCGAGGAGGCCUCCCGCCCGCCGCCUCGCAUCACACCCCGCCACGCCACCCGCCUCGACCGCUUGCGACACCACCCAACUCGUGCAUUUUAAUAACCUACAUGCUAUUUUUUUCCUCCACUUGUAUCCUCCGAAAUUAAGUAACACGGCGGAUAUUUCUUUCCUUAACCACUUCCCACUCGAUGCUUUUGGUGUAGGUCACUGGUGUGGCGGCAGUGCAGUUCCACCCCGCGGCGACUGAUGCAGGGAUUGGGGGGUCGGGGGGGGGAUGAGGCUAGGGCUCGGCCGCUAAGUCACUGAUCUUCCAACGCUCCUAAUAAUGGUUUGGGCGGGUGUCAAAACGCGCCUGUUCCUGCAAACAGCAGCUGGCAGCCUCGCUUCUCGGCCGCUGCCCUCCUCAAACUACGGCGAUGGUCGGGCGGCACCCGGCGGCACUGACUGCGUGGUGGGAGAGGCACUGAGCCGCGAGGCUAAUAUGCCACUCAACUGGGCGAGGGAGCCGUGGGGUGAGUACGGGUGGAGAAGGGGGAGGGGUUGGGUAGUACCCGCAUUCACUGGUUCAAACUCAGCCCUGUAUCCACCCUCAGACGGAACACCCUUUUCUCUUUUCUUUGGUGGUGGAAGUACUACGUUGCCCCAUUAACGGUCAUUCAGACCACUUCCCAAGCCAUUGUCAGUUAAUGGCUACAUGACGUCGCUGCCAGUCUUAUUACCACUCCAUCCACAUGUAUGUAAGCCACCAUGAGAUUUUAUUCCGGCUUGGAUUUGAAGGCAACCACUGAGACCUGCAUUGACGCACAUGGCAUCACAUUCAAUUCUUCUUUCACACACACACCACGCCCACAUUCCCAUUCUUCAAAUUCUAGAACAAGCUUUUUUGAGUGCCUCAUACAUUUUGUGCUCACUACCUUGAUACCCUCAUCAAAGCUUAUAUAUAUAGCACCAAAAACAUAGCCCAAGAAGAAAGAUAGGAAGCAAGGAACGAUCGAGACAUCAGCAUGAGCGUUUUUAGAACUUGAAACAUUAGAGGCUUGGCCAUGUCCAAUAAUCUUCACUUUCCUGUGGCGAGUUGCCGUGAAUACGUGAUAGGGAUGUGAACCAGACGGGAUCAAGCCGAUGUUUCCCCCAUGAGAUCUAUUAAUUCUGGUUAAGAAUUAAAGUCGAGUUGGUCCUGACUGAGGCUAUUUUUAUUUUUGUUAAAAAGGCUACUUGAGAUCUGUGGUUAUUAAUAAAACAUUAGGAGCUACAGCCUCCGAUGCCCAGGCUUAACGUCGCCAAUGAACAUCUGCAAAGUUUGAGUGUAAGGUUAGGAAGUGCUGAUACCAGGAUAAAGAUCAAAGUUAAAUAUAUGAAGAGGAAAAAUUUAAUAUAAAAACGAACUUUGAUCAACAAACUAUACAGCUAUAGACGUUUUUCUGUCAUUUCCUGUUUUCCUUGCAGACAGUCACGUUACUACCAAAUGGUGAAUUUCAACAUUAGGUUCUGGAUUAGGAUUACCCAAUUACACUCUUGAAUAUUACUUUGCAGUAUUACUAACAUAUGCCACUAAAUUCAAACUCGUGUUGUUAACACACAUCCAUACCAUUAUAUGUAGCAUCAUUAACAAGUGCUAACCAACAAAAUCCUUUACAUCUUACAAAAUGUUACUGAUUGUAGGCAUACCCACUACCAUCACAUAAUCUCCCUAAUUACUGAAAUUCCUUGCAGAAACCUGGAUGAUGCCGAGGAUUAUUAUCACUGUUCUGUUUGUCUGCAGACACAUGGAGAAGGAUUCAAUAUUACUUCUACUUUUCCUUUUCUAUAUACAUGGCAUGUAUCCAGACUGUCUCAUUAUUAAAAACUUUCAACAAA